rnacentral:rRNA from 1 species
UACGUAGGGGGCUAGCGUUGUCCGGAAUCAUUGGGCGUAAAGCGCGCGUAGGCGGCCCAGUAAGUCCGUUGUAAAAGUCAAAGGCUCAACCUUUGAAAGCCGAUGGAUACUGCUGGGCUAGAGUCCGGAAGAGGCGAGUGGAAUUCCUGGUGUAGCGGUGGAAUGCGCAGAUAUCAGGAGGAACACCGGUGGCGAAGGCGGGUCUCUGGGCCGAUACUGACGCUGAGGAGCGAAAGCGUGGGGAGCGAACAGG